GCCAUUUCCCCUUGUCCUAUUGCCAUGCACCACUGAAGAGUCUGGCCUUAUCCCUUGCCUCCUGCAUCUUAGAUAUUUAUAAACAUUUAUUACAGAACUUCUGAGGAGGGAGGAUAAGGAUAAGGUAGGAAAAGGUAGGAAUGACUGAGGAAAUAAUAUUGGACUACUAUGAUUUAACCCUGGUAGGCUGGUGAGCCCCACACAGCUGCUCACUCACUGCCACCCAGUGGAAUGGGUGAGAGAAUUUGAAGGGUAACUGAGAAAUCUUUUGAGUUGAGACAAAAAGAUUAAUAGGUAAAGCAAAAGCUCCAUUUGCAAGCAAAACAAAUUCACUGCUUCCCAUGAGCAUGCAGCUGUUGAAACAUUUUCAGGACAACAGGGCUUCAUUCAUGCAUAGUGGUUACUUGAGAAGAUUAAUACAGCAACGUCAAGUAUUCUUCCUCCUCUCUUCUCCUAGCUUUUAUUGCUGAAUGUAAUGCAAUAUGGUGUGAAAUAUCCUAUUGAUCAGUCUGUGUUAGCUUUCCUGAUUGUGUCCUCUCCCAGCUACUUAUGCACCCCCCAAAUCUGGUGUGACAGAGUAAGGAGCAGCAGUCCUUGACUCAGUUCAGGCACUGUUCAACAACGCACGUCAGUGUAUUAUGAACACUAUUUUAAUCAGAAAUCCAAAUCAUAGCAACAUAUAAGCCACUAUGAAGAAAAUUAACUUUCCCUGCCAAUACCAAUACACAGAUGUACAAACAUAGACACAGAGAUUUCUUAAUGGCAUGAAGCAUCUUGAGGCACCAAAUAGCACAGGUCAAUAUGCUGUGUGUGCUUUGGGUGACAUCAUGGGGAAAUUGCUGUUGAGUGAUGUAGAUAGUUUUCUUCUCUCUUCCUUGUACCUUCAUAUGUACCAUCUGCAUUUCCCAAUCUGUAUCGUGUAUCUUUCAGACAUGAAUUUCAGAAUGGGUGUUCUCUUACUAGAUUUGUACAGUUCCCCUAGUAACGUUCUUCAGUAUAGGAAGAAUAUUAAAGAGACUUUCCAUAAAAAUAAUAGCUAUCUGUGAUAAAAACAAGAGGAUUUUUUUAAGUACUGCCUAAGUCAAUCAAAUAUUUACUGUAGGAAAUACUAUUUACGGAGAAAUAUCAUCCAUUCUAUCUGAGUAAUGUGCAGAUUCUAAUUCCUGAGAAUUGUUCCUGUCUGCUGCCAUAGCUGCCAACCCUUUGUUAACAUGUCACAGAUGAAGAAAUUCCAAUUCUCUUUGUACCUUAUUGAAGUUCACAUUUUGCUCUUUCAAAAUUUGCAAGGAUUCUUACUUGUUGUCUCUAAUAAUAGUAGCUCCCAAGGGUGAUUAAAUUUGAAUUAAUAGUCUGUCUUUCAGAUGUGCUGAGUGUUUCUGCAGUUCGGGGUCAAAUAUUAAAAGCAAAACAAAACAUUUUCUGUUGCAAUAUGGACCUAGAGGCAUCUCAUUUUCCUCUCCUAGCAUAUUAUGUAUAUAUAUAUGAUAUAAUAUAUAUAUUAUAAUAUAUAAUAAUAUUAAUAUGCAGAUGUUGAUCAUCCUUAGAAUCAGCUGUGUUCAAUAGUAGUUAUCAUUUUUCUGAUCUUGACAUUUGCAGUGGAAGCCUUUUUUUUUUUGAUGGAACCCCAUUUCUUUUUUUUUUUUCCAAGGUAAAUCUUUGUCCAUAACUAUAUAUUGUUAUGGCUAGGAGUCCAGAACCAGAAAAACAAUGCAUUAAGGGGAAAAAAAUCAUAUAUACGCAAGUCUCAUUUGUGACAUUUGUAGAGUUUCUGUUCAAACUCCAGUUGUGCGUCGUUGCUUGUAGCAAAUUAAAUUUAGAUGAGUUUUAGUAGAAAUAACUGGGCUGUGAAUGUUACCCAUUAUGCAAAGAAGUGUAAAUGCAGGAAAAUAAAUAAAUAAAUAAAUAAAUAAAAGAAACCAAAUAACGUAUAAUCCAAAUAUCAUUUACAGGAUAACUCUUACCCAGUUGGUAAUUGAGUUCAGUUUGAAAUGCUUGAGGGAGAAACCUCAGGAGAGCAAUUUUUGUGCUUUGUUUGUGGAGUGAACCUGAAGAGUGGGAACAUAAGCAGUUUCCUAGUUUCCCUUACUGAGAAAAUCCUCACACUCCUCUCCACAAGCCAAGUUGUACACGUCACUGGAGUCAUCACAAAAAAUAGUGUUGUCCUUACGUUAAGAAGACUGGGAGCAGUAUUCCUACCUUCAACUCUGUAUUUUCUGAAGGUACUGGUAACUCAGAACUGGAAAAGCUAAAUGAAAACAAAGUGCUAUUUUAGUAUAGAAAAAACAGCUCUUUGCAAAUAGCUUCUGGGGUACACUAGUCCUAAGACUAUGACUCUUUUGUAGUCUUAACCUCUGCUCUUAUUAUUCUGUUUCAGAUGUCCCAUUUGCUUUGCGUGUAUUCAUUGUGUUAUGAAGUGCGCAUAAGAAAUGUGCUUUCAAGCUUUCUUACCACUGCAGCUGGGGCACUAGGCUGCAACUUGGUCUUGGGAGGCUUUGCUGCUGGGUAUGAAAUCACAGCUGGUGGCUAGAAGCACAGGAUAUGUCUCUCAGCACAUCAGCAGUGGAAUUGUUACCAGAGGUUUCUAGGGUGUUAGGAAGUCUUGAUGAGCUGCAGGCUCUUAGCAUUCACUGGUAUUAAUUUGCAGAAGAUACUCUUCUGACACAAAAAAUAUCUCAAAUUUAUUUUGUUUUCCUUUACUUAUUGUUGUAACCACAUAUCCAGGUUACUCAUCUCUGAUAUUUUACUUGCAGUUUGUGGCACCUAUUGGAAACUGAUUGUGAUACUCUGGCAUGGAGAAGCAAUCUGUAGCUAUAGCUAGCUGCUUAGGGCAGCUACCAUUAGUAACCCCUUAGCUAGCUGCUUUGGAAUUUGGAACUGCACUGUUAAGAGCUGAACAAAUCUUUAAUGAGAGAGUCCUUGCUGAGAGGAGCUGGUAAUGAAGGUGGGCAACACAGGUCUGGAGCAGCAAAGUUGCUUGCCUGAAGUUCUGCAGAAGUGGGAAUUGAACUGGUGUCUCCUGAGUCCUGAUGGAUGAAUUCUGUGGUUGUUUCUGUCUCUCUGCCCUGUGUUCACAGACAACAUGAUAAAAAUGUAUCAGAAUACUCUAUAAUAAAAGUCACUGUUUCUAUUUGA